CAGAGGUACAAACUAAAGGCAGAGGGUUGUGGAGUAUUAGGGGAGUUACAAGUUCCAGCAUUUAGUACAGUGACUGGCACAUAGGAAGUAGUAAGUACUCAAUAAUAUUGAAUGAAUGAAUGAAAACAUCUUAGUUUAGCUGGCCUGUCUCUAAGGCAUAAUCCAAAGAGAACACUGAAAUUUGAAGGUCACACAGACAUUGAGAUUGACACAUGGAAAACAUGCCCUCACUCUAAGGAAUCACUAGUGAAUUUUGAAGGCUGUGAUGAACUUAGGGUAACCACAGCAAGGAGCAACCUUAAACCUAGUCCAAUUUUUAUAACUAUAUUAAUGAAAACCUACAUGAAAGGAAUAACAAUAAAUGACAUGACCGUUUCUAGGGCUUAAAUCUGUUUACCUGUUUCUACUGUCCUACAUGAGAUACCUGGGUUUGGGCCAAAAAAUAAAAAUUUACAAGACAUACAAAAAUGCAAGAAAAGUCACCACCCACCAAAAGACAAAGCAGUCAAGAACUAGACCCAGACUACCUCACACAGAAUUUUAAAUAAUAUGUUAAAGGCUCUAAUAAAAAAAGUGUACAACAGGCAAAUUAGAUGGGUCAUUUGAUCAGAGAUGGAACUAUGAGAAUCAAAUGGAAAUACUGAAAUGAACACAGUAAAGAGAUGGGAACAAUACCUUCAACAGGCUCAAAGGUAUACUUGACAUAGCCAAGGAAAGAAUAAGUCAACUUGAAGGUAAGUCAAUAAGAAUAGCCAAACUGAAACACAGAGGAGGGCAGGGGUCACAGAAUAAAUCGUCCAAGAGCUGUGGGAAAAGAUCUAUUGGUCCAACACAUGCAAAAUUGGAUUCCUGGAAGGAAUAGAGAAAUUGGGUGGGAAGAAAUAUUUGAAUAAACAAUAGAUAAUGACACCAGAACAAAAAUCUAUAAAGCUUCAAAGAAUACAAGGAAAGAUUUUUUUUUUAAAAGACGUUACAUAGGAACAAAAGGGGGAAAAAACUGUCUAUGAAAUUUUUCAUGAAAAUGUCUUUCAGAAUUGAUAGAGAAAUGAAGACUUUCUCAGAGGAGGAAAAAACAGAAAAUACAUUGCCAGAAGACCCUACUCUAACUUCAUUUAACAGUUCUUUAAACAAAAGGAGAUGCACAAAGAGAUCUGGAAAUGGAAUAAAUGAAGACAAAAGCUCAUCUACCUUGCCUGCUUCAUUAUUUAAGAUCCCAAAAGCCUCUACACAAGCCAACUCAAAGCAUGAACUUUUCUAGGGACCCUUUGGACAGACUGACUCCCUUUACUGAAAUCCCUGUCAUGCCAACAUUUCAGUUUUGGAAUUACAGCUUAGAAGCUUAACAACUUUUCUAUUUAAAUGACAUGUGUUUAAUACAAUUCAUCUACCUGGAAUUAAGAGAGAAAAGAAGAAGUUCUAAAGCACAAAUUGGUGAAUGAACUACAUAAGAAGUUCAAGGAUUUAACAGCUGUUAAAUGCAGUCUAAUAAUGAGAUUAUAGAGAAUGAGAAUGAAGGAAAAUUUAUGAAGAAAAUAAAUCAUGCAUAACUAAAGAUAUUUACCUAAGAGAAAUGAAAACGUAUGUCCACACAAAGUCCUGUAUGUGACCACUUCAUAUAGCCCCAAACUGCAAACAACCCAAAAGUGCAUCAACAG